rnacentral:rRNA from 1 species
UAGGGAAUUUUCGUCAAUGGGGGGAACCCUGAACGAGCAAUGCCGCGUGUAUGAAGAAGGUCUUCGGAUCGUAAAGCACUGUUGUAAGUGAAGAAUGCCACAUAGAGGAAAUGCUAUGUGGGUGACGGUAGCUUACCAGAAAGCCACGGCUAACUACGUGCCAGCAGCCGCGGUAAUACGUAGGUGGCAAGCGUUAUCCGGAAUCAUUGGGCGUAAAGGGUGCGUAGGUGGCACGAUAAGUCUGAAGUAAAAGGCAACAGCUCAACUGUUGUAUGCUUUGGAAACUGUCGAGCUAGAGUGCAGAAGAGGGCGAUGGAAUUCCAUGUGUAGCGGUAAAAUGCGUAGAUAUAUGGAGGAACACCAGUGGCGAAGGCGGUCGCCUGGUCUGUAACUGACACUGAUGCACGAAAGCGUGGGGAGCAAAUAGGAUUAGAUACC